rnacentral:rRNA from 1 species
GAUGAACGCUGGCGGCGUGCCUAAUACAUGCAAGUCGAGCGAACGGACGAGAAGCUUGCUUCUCUGAUGUUAGCGGCGGACGGGUGAGUAACACGUGGAUAACCUACCUAUAAGACUGGGAUAACUUCGGGAAACCGUAGCUAAUACCGGAUAAUAUUUUGAACCGCAUGGUUCAAAAGUGAAAGACGGUCUUGCUGUCACUUAUAGAUGGAUCCGCGCUGCAUUAGCUAGUUGGUAAGGUAACGGCUUACCAAGGCAACGAUGCAUAGCCGACCUGAGAGGGUGAUCGGCCACACUGGAACUGAGACACGGUCCAGACUCCUACGGGAGGCAGCAGUAGGGAAUCUUCCGCAAUGGGCGAAAGCCUGACGGAGCAACGCCGCGUGAGUGAUGAAGGUCUUCGGAUCGUAAAACUCUGUUAUUAGGGAAGAACAUAUGUGUAAGUAACUGUGCACAUCUUGACGCUACCUAAUCAGAAAGCCACGGCUAACUACGUG